CCGAGCGCGUCUUCGCAGUGAGAGACCGGUCCCGCGCAGGGAGAGACCGGUUCCCGAACGUUGGUUUUUCGGGUUCGGCACGAGAGACCGGUCCCUGCUGGGGAGAGACCGGUCCCCCUGGGUGAAAAUUGCCCAGACCGGGCUGAUGCAAAUUUGAGUUUUUGAGGGGCCUCUCUGGAUUUUGUUGCUCUAAAUGGUCUAUAUGGCCAUUUCACUAUCUUCCCUCCUCAUUUCUCACCCUCUCCCUACACUUUCUAGAGAGAGAAGAAGAAGAAGGAGGAGAAGAAGAAGAGGAGCUUGCUUGAGGGAGCUUGGAGCUCAACCCCUUUUCUCUCCUUUCCACUCUUGCAAGGCUUGGAGCUUGCUUGUAGGGCUUGCUGGUGGACCAAUCUUCAACCCUAGAAGAUUUGGAGCUUGUUUUGAGGCAUCUAGAAAGGUUAGUACUUGAUUCUAUCCUUUGAUCCUUGUUUUGGUAGAUUUUACCAUAUGGAACCCUAAAAUGGGAUUUUAGGGUUAACUUUGGGCAUUUUGAAUCUAAGGCUUUUGAAGCUAGAUUGAUUGGAUUAGAACCUUCCUUGAGCUUGGAUUGGAAGGGUUCUAGCUCUCUUUUGGAGCUUUGGAAGAGAUUUCUUCUCUUGAGGUAAGUUUUAGCCCUUUUGCCUUGUUUGUUAACGUUUGACCUAAUGAUUGAUCGUAAUGCCCUUGUAUCUCUUCGCUCAAUACUUUUAGGGUAUUUUGAGACUCGUGGACAACUUCUUUCGGCGAAACGAAGGACACCGCGACGAUUCGGUGGGUUUCACUUAGCCACACAAUGAGAAAACCUCAUUGUUGAUGAUUUAAGCGUUGUAAAAUGAAAAAGCAUGCAUAUUCUCAUUAUAUGUAUUUAUUGUGAAUUUUAGAAUGCUUAAAAUGCCUAUAUUACAUAUAGUGCAAUUUUGGACUCCUAUAUAGUAGAGAGUUGCAUAUGAAGCUUAUGUUUGAUUGCUUAGCAUUCUUAUGUUGGGCCAUAUUCCUUUUAAUGAAAAUGAGUUCGAUUCAUGCAUUUUAAACCUAAGUUUAAUUGAGACAUGAAAGGUAAUAAAAUUGCCAUGUAGGGGCACCGGACUAGAACAUUAUGUGUUACAGCUAAUGUCAUCAAGCGGCAUUGAGCUCGGGACAUGUGUGAACCUUGUGAAUAGUAGGCAUUGAGGAACGAUUGGGACAUGCUUAAAUAUUGAAUGUCUAAGUGUAUAAAGCGGCACUAGACUGAGAAAUUAGAAUCUUUCUUUGUGACAUAGAACUAGAUUUCGAGAUGCUGGUGAAGUAUACCAUUGUUAGAGAUAUGAGGAUUGGAUACUGAGGAUUGGAUACACUUGCUUGAAUUUGUGCUAUUCACAUGCUAUGUGGGAGGUGCGAUCCUAGCAGCCGACACUAGAGUUAGCAGCGUGAACUUAUUUCGCUGUGCCGGUAUGAGAACUACGGGGUUGAUGGGACAAGACAUUCCAGAGUAGGGAUGUGGCUACACAGGCACUGUAGCGGGACAAGCUAGGAGUACCUUUGGUAGGUCUAAUUGGAAUAGAAAUCGACACAUGUUGAGAAUGAAUAAUCACUAUAGAUAGGUUAGUGUAUAAUAUUGACAUGAUCACGAAUUGCGUUGGUUAUAUAUGAAAUAUAUUGCUGUUCAUUCAUUGCAUUAUAGUAUAAUGGGUUACUUUGAUAGGUUUCCAUUAUGCAUGAAUAUUGCAUCGUGAGUUUAUUUGUUUUUAUGUAAGGCAUAUUAGUAUGAUUGGAUUAUUAUGAUGAUAGUAGAUGUACAUCACCACGAAUCAGUUUACUUGGGAAUAGUAAGUAUGAGAUUUAUUUAUGCUUUCGUUUCAAGUAGUUCAUACUCGCUCUUUAUUGUUUAUUAUUUUGUCCGUUACUUACCGCUUAUUUUGGGAUCGUUAGUGAUUGCAUUAGAAGCUAAGACGGUCAGUAAUUGACCACUGGAUACUUAUUAUGUUUCAGCUUAUGUUUUGAUUGUUUUUCAGAGCCUUCCAUCGCACGGGAGAGGCUUAGGACCGCGUGAAGGGAGUUGCUUCGAAGCUAGUCUUUCUUCCGAGGACGAUUUUGAUAGGAUGUCUAUCUUCUUCUGUUAUUUUAUUUUGUGAGGAGGUUGAGAGUUUGUACCCGUAUGUGAUAGAGAGCACCUUCUUUUGGAUUUAUGUAUUUCUUUUUUGAGGGUUUGCGAUUGUGAUCAUCUUGUGUUUACUUCUUUGAUUAGUAUAUUUCUGGGGUUGUCUGUGUUUGAGAUGAAUAAGAUUUACUUGCUCUGAUAUCUCGGGAGUCAUGGUUAUUCUCGGCUUUCCGCUGUUGUUAUAUAGACGCUAUAUAUGUUGCAGAAAUUUAUGGCAGGUCUGGGACGCUACGGGAGGGGGGGGGCGGUGGCAUCCGGGUCCGUGGGCAUCGUGACAGGUCCCUCAGAUAGUGUUGCCGGACAGCUGCGACGGCAAACUGGUCCCUGGCGGCUAGAGACGGUCGCAUGCGCGUCUACGCCUGGAGAGACGGUUCCCGAAGUGAUUUUUUUGGGCUAUGCUAAGAUCGGUCAUAUCGGACGAGACGGUCCUCGUGUUCGAAACUGCCAGACGGGCAGUUGACAGUGUUUGUGUAUUGAGGGGUAAUCAGCGGAUUUGUACAUUUAGAAGUUUUAGAGCAUUGUUCUUUCUUUUCUUCAUUUUACUUCCUUCACAACAUUUUAGAGAUGAGAAGAGAUAGGAGAAAAAAAGAGGAAGAAGAAUUGAAGGAGAAGGAGCUUAAUGGUGGUUUGGUAUCAUUCCUUCUCAUUCCUCGCUUUGGUGGAUUAAGUUGCGGAUUGGAGCUUUGUGGAGGAUCAUACUUCAACCUCUUGUUUAGAGUCUUGUUUGGAGUUCUUUGAGUUAUGUAGCUUGUAUUUCCAUUUAAAUAAGUUUUCUUAAUUUUAUUAGAUGAACAAAAUUGUGGAAUUAGGGUUUAUUUGAAAUUUUGAAUUGAGGCUUAAACCUAAAUUGAUGGGCGGUUGACUAAGAUAUGCCCAUUGCUAGCGGCCUAGUGGACAAACCAAUACAAAAUUUACACCCGUUUAAACCUUUAUUUAGUUGAUUUGCAAGAACUCUAUACUCAUUGGAGUUGAGAUGGGAUUUCUUCAUUCAGUGUGAGUUUCUCCCUUAGUUGAGAUGGUUAAUGAUCGAUCAUUGGUGUUGUAAGAUUUCGUUUAAACUCUUUUUCUCACUUUAGUAUACUUAGGAUGUUAGUGGUGGAUACCUUCGUCGGGAUUAGAAAGGUUCGUUAGUUCGGUGGUUUUUAUUCAUGAAAUCGUUUGGGCGAAAUGGCAUAGAGUAUUCUAUCCUUGUCGUAACCGGUCAAUUUGUUGAUAUUCUGUUAAAUGGGAAUUUUAUGUAAUUUUAAAACAUUAAAUGAUGCUUAUGUGUAUCAUGAAAAUUUCAUAAUAUAUAGUGGGCAUUCUGAGGCAUUUUGCAUGAAUUAUGGCAAGUGUGUGUGUUGCCUAGGAAUGCGAAAACAUGUCUUUCAUGUUAGAAUUUUGCUCAAAUUAGAAUUUGUUAAACAAUGAAAUCAUGUCUGGACUUAGUGGAUAAAAUACAUAAAGAGCAUUGACUAGUAACUGUGAAAUUGCCUAAUAUAGAGGACUAUUGAUAGGCUAUUGAACAUCUGUAUAUUCCUAUGUUAGGCUUGAUAAAACAUAGAGAUUAGGCCUUAUGGGAAUUAGUAUCUUCAUGUUUUUAGACAUGAGGAGUUGGUACUUGAGAAAUCUUUCUUGGUUGCUUUUGUGCUCAUGCACAUGUUUUUGAGGGGCGUCCAUAAAGCUGGCACUCCGGAGAUAGCAUCGACAUAUUCUCGCGAAUCGUUUGUGAGGAAUUGGGGCGCCGAAAUGUGAUGCCUGUGGGAGGUCGUUCUAGAGUAGGUAUGUAGACUACAGGUGCGAUUGGAUCGGCGCAGGGGAUACCAGGCGUAGGUCCUAACAGGAUUGGAUUAUUGAUAAUUUGCAUACGAUGGACAUAGACUAGAAUAGUGUAGUAUCUUGAAGUUUGCAAAAUUUAUAGAGUGAAAAGUGGAGGUGAAGGAAUGACAUGUAUAAGAGUCUAAUAUUUUAUAAUGGUGUUGUAGUGUUUAAUUUUGAUAGUUAAUAUUUUUGAUUGUAGAAAGUGCGUUUGAAGGCGAUCUCUAACUUUUGUAUAUUAGUAUACAAACUGCAAUAUAAUUGGAAAGUUCGUCGCCGGUGCGGAAAUGGAAAUUUGAAACUUCCAUGUUUUAAAGAUUAAGUGUUUACAAAUACGUUUGUGAGUGUGUCGAAAGAUAGACGUGGAAAGUGGCAUUGCUAUUGCGAAAUCUGCCAAUUUUUGUAUUGGCGUACGGUACAAAGCUAAAGCUGUACGGUACAGCAACAGCAAGCGCAGCUCAGGAGUGAAUGGGUGUUUUGGGUCUUUGCACCUCUUAUUAUCCUUACCUCCCAGCUCGAACCCAUGGACUCUUAGAUGGUGUUCGAGUGAUCAGAGGGGCUUUCCACCUCUUCACCUUCUCCUCUAGGUGUUUUUCCCACUCUUACGGAUAACGUUCGUUCAAUGUUCGAUUUCGACGCCAGUGGUCGUCGUUGUGUUUGAAGUAAGACUUUGGGAGGCAGCUUUAAAAGUAAAUGGUAGUGUAUUUGACAGUAUAAUUUCGUGUCUAAGUGCGUGGGAAUCCUGAAGAUAGUUUUUAGAGAGUAUUUCUUGAUUUCUUUAAUUAUAGUUAGCGUCGUGAUUUUUGACCAUUUGUUUCGUUGCUUCUUGGCAUCAACACUGUGUGUAACAGGGAUUCAGCAGUAGAUGACGAUUUUCAGGCUGUGAUUGAUCCCUUAGCCAGGGCAUGAUUAAUUUGAAGUUGUUAAUGGUAGUUGUAAUAUGAGUAGUUUGGAACUAUACGAAUUACUUGUGGUAUUGAUGCAGUUUGGGAAUUGUAUCUUCGAAGCAGUUUGCCGAACCAGUGGGUUAUGAUUUGCGAUGACCUGGUGAGGAUGGAUUAGACGUCUUAUCACUUUGAGGUGAUAAGCAAGAAUUUUAGUAGGAAGCUGGAAAUUGCAAGAUACGACUUAGAGUACCGUAUACAAAGCAGUGUUUUCUAAUGCCGUUUUGACAUUGUUCGGCAGCAGCGAGUGUGUUAGGCUCUUGAAGUGAUUUUGACUGAUUGUGGAAGAGUUGGAAGACUUGACUUGAGGGUAUUAAACUAGCGAAGCAGGGGAUUAGUUAUUGCUUGUAUUAUAGCAUUGAAAGCGAAAUUGGUAAGAUUCUAAUGUAAUGUUCCGACUGCGGUUUGAUGUUUAUUUUAGCAGAUCUAGCGGAUGUUUGAGCUGAAUUUGGAGCAUCUUUGGGCUGUUUUGAGUUAGUGAUAGGUGGCGUCGGACUAACAGAGAAGUGAAUUCCUCUAUUGUUCUAUAUGAUGCUAGUGAUGAUGAUUUCAGAAUUGGAGCUUAUGGUGUACUGUUUGUUACAUGAUUAUUACCGUUAAGCUUGCCUUUAAUUAUUCAUAUUCAUGAAUUAAUGUUUUCGUUUCAUUUAAUACCCGAUGGCCUAGUGGUGUAAUUUCGCGAGGCUGGCAGGCGUUAUCCCAUGGGAACUAUUGUUUAUAGUUCUCACCUCUUUUUGUGUUGUUUUUUACAGAAUCAUCAGGAGAGGCUAGGGACCGUUGGCAAGGGAGUCGGUCUAGCUAGACAUUUGCUAGGGAGGUGAGUCGUAACCUUGUUACGGGUUACAGCGAGUGGUGAUGUCAGUUUAAGAGGACUACUUGUACAGGCUUUUUGUAUACCCUGUGUUGUAUAUAUUUUGGAUCCAGUGAUGUGAAGUUUUAGACUUUCUUUUAUACUCUAUUUUGGUUGGACACUCUUGUUCUUUUGUUGUAGUCUUGGUGAUUAUUUACUUGCUCUGAUAUCAGGAUAGUUAUGUUAUGAUUUUACUCUAAUCGAUUAGUUUUAUUGUAGAGCUUUAUACUACAGGUGAUAUGAUUAUGGCGGUGUCUGUGCACGUACCGGAUAUGCUUCCGUAGGUUAACCGGGGCGUGACAAAUAGAUAAUAAGAUUUAUUUUUUACUAUUUAGUUGUUGGACAACUUAUCUUGUAAGUUAUACCGAAAAAUUCGGAAAAUAAAUAUCGAAUUAGUCAAAUUGACCAUAAGUGCGAGUGACGUAUACAUCGGAAAGUCGAAGGUGUUAAAUGUAUCAAAAGUGAGUUACGGGAGGUUUAUGAGAGUAAGAAUCAUUCUGCGAACUGAAAGCUUUUGAGCUCCGGGACGGUCCCUGGUGGGAGAGACGAGUUCCUCGAACGUAUGAAUGAGAACUAGCCAAAAUCGGCUAAGUCUGAGGAGUAGACUUCGAGAACGGUCAUGUCCGAUAGACGGUCCCGAGAGACGGUUCCACAAGGAAUGAGGACGUUUUGGCACUGCGCGCAGAGCUCUGGCAUGCGCUGGGACAACGUUCAGGGAAGGUCCUGUGCGGGACCGGUCUCUGCCUGCGCGGAAUAGCCCAGUUCGGGCGAGUGUAUUAAAGUGAAGUUUGAUGGUUUAGCAUGCAAUUUUUGCAACAAUAGGUUAAGUAUCGAGGGCAUAUAGAGAUAUUUCUCUCAUUUUCUCACCUUGCAAACACUUCUAUUCUUCCCUCUUCCUCUAGAAACAAAGAAGGAGAGAAAAGAAGGUAAGAAAGAAGGAGAAGAAGGAAAAGAACAGGUGAAGAAGAGAAGAUCAAGAAGCAAAAAGGCUUCUUCUUUUCUACUUUAGUAAGAAAGGAGCAGCUUUGAGGUAGGCUUUUUGCUCUUUUCAUUUAACUCCCAAACUAGGGUUUUUGGAAAACCUAGGAAUGGGUUUUUAUGGAGCUUUUGGGUAUUGGAGCUAUUUCUUUGCUUCGUAGAGAGAGAUCAAACGUAGUUUUUGCUAUAUGGUGAGCUUGGACACUCUUAAUUGGUGAAAUGAAAACUAGGUGAUUUGAAGGCUAAGAAUGGUUCUAAUGGACUAUUAAUAGGUUGUAAUGAAGUUACUUUUGCUUUCUUCUUUGAGAUCAAACCUAGUUUGAUACAUGUGUUGGAUGUAGGGCACUCAAUAUUGGGGUUUUUGCUUGAGGGGUUUCUAAGUGAAAUGGACCUCUAGAAACAUAUAUUGGGGGUAUUCCGACGCGUUGGGUGCGGUAUUCGAAUUAACGUUACGAAAAGUCCCAAAGUAAAGUGUUAUGGGACCAAAUGGCCUGAUUAAGGUUCGUUAUGCCCCCCCCCACAGGUAAAGUAAUCAUAAGAGAUCUAGAAAUCCUAAGAAAUCACGGAAGCACCUUUUUGGAAGCUACGAGUUGUGGUGGUGCUUUUCAAAAUCAUUGAAAUUCUUUAAUGCUUAAGGUAUUCUAUUGGGAUAUGUUCUAUUAUGAUUGUUGCUAAUGCCUUUUUUGGUUAAAGUAAUGAAUGAAUGUGAUGAUUGAGAUUGUGAGCAUAAUAUUGCAUAUAUGAGAUGUUAGAGACAUUAUAUAUAUGUCAAUCCUUAAUGAUUAUGAAUGAGAGAAAAUGUUGUAGUAACCAAAUUGUAGCAAUAAGUACAGAGUGCCACCAUGACAUAGAUCGUGCAUUUGAAAAUGUAGUAAAAGAAGACAUAAGACGUAUAAGUGUAGGUAUUAAAGAUACAUGUAAUUGUAAAGAAUGCUAAAAAUGAUAAUGCUUAAAGUUAACCAAUGUGGAAGUAAAAGAAGUUUGAAAUUGUAGAGGUUAGCAAAAGUAAAGAAUGAUAAAAUUAUAUUGCUUAGGUUUAGCAAGUAAAAGGACAAUGUAAAGAAUUUGAUUGCGAUGAGUGUGCACAUAAAGUGAUUGUAAAGAACACUAGAGGUAGUGUAAAGUCAAGAUUUGAAUUUAUAAUGUUUGAGUUAAGAGAUAUGGAUUCAAUAAGUUGCUAUGAGUUCGGUGCUCGGCGGUGCUCCCCUCGGGCGAUUUGCGUCUCGGGGUUAUGCAUCGAGUUGGAGUAGACCGUUAAGGACGGUCUAGCAUGGGUGAGUCGCGAUGAUGGACUUUAUGUGAAGCAAGUUAAGUGUGUAGCCGACCAAGGUAGCCUUUAUGAUUAAAGAAAAAGAACAAAGAGCAAAGAAUAAAAGGAACGAAGCACAAAGUAAAGUCAAUGAAUUGAAAGAAUUUGAUAAUCGCCAUUUAUUUAAUGUUGAGCAUACUUUCUUGCUUAUUGUUCAAGGUAUUCAGAUCAUGUUAUAGAUUGGCUUUAUGUACGUAGCUUAUUCUUUAUACUUAUGGCCUGAGUUAUGAACUAGUGGAAAGGUCGGUGAUGUGAGGUCCGAACCAUGCGAGAACUUUGUAUGGUUCUACCACCACUAUUUAGACCGGGGGGCGGGGCGCGAGCCGGCGAGCGACCGAGGUAAAGGUAUCGCGCCUUAGUCAGAGGCCACCACAGUUGUGUUCAUUUUGUAGUAAAGUGCCCUAUGUUCAUCUUUUGUAUAUGAUGAUUAGUGAUGUAAAGAAAAGAAUGUAAUGUGCAUUUUGAGGUAAAUGUGAUGUAAGAAAGAAAUGAUGUAAUGAAUGUAAGAAUUCGAUAAAUUACUAGAUGAAUGCAAUGUAUAUGAUCUAAAAUGAAUCAUAUUACUUGUGAAUGUUUAGUUUCCUUUUUCUUUCACUUAUGGCUGUUGCUUACCCUCGUGUAAGCCGUUUGUGUAUGUUUCCGCUAGUGCUUUUCUCUAUUGAUGAAAAUGUGCAUGUGAUGAGCCUUGGGCGGAUAGGGGAAACUCUGUCCGUUCGGCGUCUGUUUGAGGUGCUCGGGUCAGGCCAAAUUGGCAUUGGUCUCGGGGCGUGACAAUACUAGUGAUACUUUGGUACAUUCAUGUUAGAAUAGUCUUUUAUUACUUAUGUAAAUUCAUGCUAAGUAGAGAUAUCAUGUUGUAAUAAGUUUACAUGUUUACUUACAUAUCGAUUCUAUUUCUUUUAUUGUUACUUACCUGUUUAGCUCUUUUGGGCCUAGUGGUGCUUUCAUUUAAGUCAGUAAUUGCCCACUGGGAACUAUUAUUUAAUAGUUCUCACGCCCUUAUUUCUAUGUUUCCUUUUCAGAGCCCUCUGCACCGGCGGAGGCACGGGAUCGCGGCAAGGGGAUCGCUAGCUAGAUAGCAAUGAUUUACUGUUGCCUAGGUGGUUUUCUCUCUUUUUGUUGUUGUUGAGAGAAAGAGAGAGGUUUUGUAUCCAUGUAUAAAGACCACCUAUGUAUUUACUUAUAGCACUUGUUUCGGGAUUCUUCUUGUACUACUUUAUGCUUUCAUCUAGUGGAUUUUAGUUUAUGGUUCUUUUUCUCUAUGGUAGCAUCUAGAUAUACUUGCUCUAAUACUCCUACAUGUUCUCUUUUUGCUACUUCAUUUAUUGUUUUGUUUUUAGACGCCUUAUAUGCUUUAGACAUAUGGCGGGUCUGGACACGAGCCGGGCGGGCCUCCGCUGGGUCCCGGGGCGUGACAAAUUAGUUUGGUAUCAGAGCCUAGGGUUGAGUCUUAGUGGACCUAGCAAACCUUAGGCCGGUUGGACUGUAGGAAAUAGGCUCGUGAGAGACGAGGUCUAUUUGACUUGUAAGCGAAAGUAUCGUGAUUGGGUAUCUUGAUAACUCUAAAAAGUUGGAGUUGAUCGAAGUGUAUGGCUUCUAAAUUCGCGGAGGGUUACGUUAGCAGCCGACAACGUAACAUUGGGAGUUACACUACAACAGAAUUAGGUUAUAGGAACACAUGUUUGGGACACUUUUAAGUAAGUGUCCCAUUUAUCCUAAAACUUAAAAAAAAUAUCUACUAAUGUCUAAAUAUAAAGCCCAAUCCAACCAAAAAUAAAAGAUUACUCUACUCAACCCACCACACCUAGUCCAUUUGGCCCGAUUACAAACAGAAAAGAAAAAAAAAAAAAAUCAAUUACCAUCUUUUUUUCUCUCUUCACUCCAUCCACUGAAAUUCUAGACGAAGAGCCUUUCCUGUCGUCAUUCUCCGCCACCGCAGCCAACGAGAUAGAGUUUUGGCGGUUGCUAAAUGCUUAAAUAAGUGUUGGUAAAUUAGCAGCACUCUUUUAGGUUAUAGCGACACUCUUUAACUGUCCUAGCGACCCCACAUAUAGCAACACUUUUUAAAAGUGUCGGUAAUUUUAGCUAGCAGCACUUUUUUGACAUGUACCUAUAUUUAAAAGUGUCGCUAUAGACCGUUUUUGUUGUAGUGUUAGUAGUGAAGCACACUUCAUUUCUUUCACAUGAUUUGGGGUAUUAUCUGCUUGAGCGGGCGUACGAUAGCGUGGGUUACUAACUUACGCUUUUAUGAUAUUGUAGUGUGAUGCCGAUCACUCGCUCCCAAUCUGCCAGAGUGGAUAAUGCGGCAAACUUGGAGGAGGUCGAGACCUCUGCUACCUCCGGAUCUGGCGAGGUCCAGGAGUUGAGGAGCUAGCUUGCGGCCCUCACCGACCUAGUAACUCAGCAGACGGAGGCGGCCUGAUAGCAGACUGAGGCGGCGCGCCGACAGGAGGCACGGAUGAAGCGCCUGGAGGACCUUCUUGUACAGCAGGCGGCAGCUUCCAGGGAGACCCAGGCCCCUACACCACCAGCACCAAUUAUGGACGUCACGCCGAGAGCGCCGUCCCUCGCGCCCAGUUCGUCGCGUGCGGCGCCCGUGGCCACGCCUCAGGAGGAGGCUUUGGCGGCGCCACCUGCUCAGGCGCCCCCGAUUGGAGCUGUUUUCCCUGUGUUGGUCUAGGGAGCGGAGCGAGACCUACUGAUGGAGCGCCUCAACGAGUUUAGGAGGUGUAGCCCCCGGAUCUUCGACGGCGAAAAGGUCGACCGCAGGAUCGUGGAGAAGUGGUUGAUGCAUAUGGAGAAGCUCUUCCGCGACACCUUCGUGGAGGAGAGAGAUCGAGUUUGGCUCGCCACACACCAUUUGGACGGCGAGUCCUACCGCUGGUGGUUGGAUCUUCAGGAGAACCCCAGCACUGAUUUGGCGGCCAUUACUUGGAAGAAGUUCAAGGAGCUUCUGUUGGCGCACUACUUCCCGACCAGCAUCAAGAGAAAAAUGGAGCAGGACUUGCGCAACUUGCGCCAAGGAGACCGAACUGUAGCCGAGUACGACCGGGAGUUUUUUCGGCUUCUACACUGCAUGCCUUUCGUCGUGCGGGACGACGAGGACAAGGCCCGCAUUUUCGAGCGAGGGUUGCGACCGUCAAUUUUUCGGUUCGUGUAAUUCUCUAACCUCCAAACCUACCGGGAGGUGGUGGAUCUCGCGCUCAUCGUGGAGAGCGGUGCGGCAGACGUCCAGGAGCGGCGAGAGGCUAUGGACAAGGGUAAGGACAAGAGGCCUACGGCUGAGGGUGCGAGCCAGACGCACUCUAGGAGGCCGCCGAAGCAUCCUAGGAGCCAGCAGCAUGGGCGUGGCUCGGCGACUCAGCGUGGAGGUUCUGACCAAUGCCGACCUCCCCAGUGCGUGAUCUGUGGUGGUCCCCACAUUCCACCGCAGUGCCCACAGCGGGGAGGGAGGUGUUUCUAGUGUGGCCAGGAGGGCCACUUCCGGACCGAGUGCCCGAGGGGUUCGUCACCGGCACCGUCAUCUGCAUCGGCACCGGCUCUACCAACCGCCAGCCACGAGACUCCAUCAGCGCAGUACCAGCCUGGGCGGCCACCCGUCAAGCGCCAGAGCCAGGGUUCUCGUCAGGCCCCGAGUGGGCGUAUGUAUGCCACUCAGACCGAGGAGACGGCAGCAGCCGAGGAUGUGGUCGCAGGUAUCAUUUUACUUGAUGGCAUUAGAGUUCGUGCAUUCUUUGAUACCGGUGCAUCGCAUUCAUUCAUAAAUUGGCUGUUUGCCGAGUUACAUGGCAUCCCUAUGCUUUCUUUGUUGCAUCCGGGACGUGUAGUUGUCCCCGACCACUCUUUGGAUAUUAGAGAGUAUUGCCCAGUUGCCCUAUUCAAGUAGGAGAUUGGAUUAUGCCCGUGGACUUGCUAGCCUUGCGCAAGCUAGGGGAAUUUGAUGUGGUCUUAGGCAUGGAUUGGUUAACCAAGUAUUAUGCCACGAUCGAUUGCAAGAAUCGUACGGUUACUUUUAGAGAACCGGGACAAACUGAGGUUGUGUUUAGAGGAUGCCAGAGUUCGCUUUUUGCGAUGACGAUCAGCUCGUCUCGAGCUAGGCAGCUGAUCAGCAGAGGUUGCAUAGCCUAUUUGGCUAGUGUCGUGCUCAGGGGCGGGGACGGCAACCCUAGGAUUGAGGACAUCCCGGUGAUGCGGGAGUUUUGUGACGUGUUUCCAGCUGAGCUACCGUGUUUGCCACCCGAUAGGGAGAUCGAGUUUGUGGUAGAUCUCGUUCCUGGGACUACUCCAAUCUCGAAAGCACCCUAUAGGAUGGCACCGGCGGAGCUAAAGGAGCUGAGGGCACAGCUACAGGAUAUGUUGGAUAAGGGUUUUAUUCGACCGAGCGUUUCACCGUGGGGAGCGCCAAUUCUGUUCGUCAAGAAAAAGGACGGAUCACUUGGCCUAUGCGUGGACUAUCGUAAACUUAAUAAAGUCACGAUCAAGAAUAAGUAUCCAUUGCCGAGAAUCGACGACUUGUUUGAUCAGCUUCAAGGAUCAUGUGUGUAUUCCAAGAUAGACUUGCAGUCGAGAUACUAACAAUUAAAGAUCAAACCCGAGGAUAUAUCGAAGACGUCGUUUAGAAUACGGUAUAGACACUAUGAGUUCACAGUUAUGCCGUUCGGGCUUAUUAAUGCCCCGGCAGCUUUUAUGGAUCUAAUGAACUGUGUUUUUAAGCCUUAUCUAGACAGGUUCGUCGUAGUGUUCAUCGACGACAUUUUGGUUUAUUCCCGAAGUGAUGCAGAUCAUGAGAAACAUUUGAGAAUUGUGCUCCAAGUACUUCGGAAAAAGGAGCUUUAUGCCAAGCUGAAAAAGUGCGAAUUUUGACUUCGAGAGGUAGCUUUUCUUGGACAACUGUAGCUUUUCUUGGACAUCUGAUUUCAGGAUCGUGUAUAGCUGUGGAUCCUAAGAAGAUUGAAGCAAUCCAGGAUUGGCCGAGACCGACGAGCGUCACGGAGAUACGGAGCUUCCUUGGAUUGGUCGGGUACUACCGGAGAUUUGUUGAGGGAUUUGCCAAGCUGUCUACUCCCCUCACGUGGCUCACGCAUAAAGGAGUCAAGUUCAUUUGGAAUGAUGCAUGCGAGAGAAACAUCCAAGAGUUAAAGCAAAGAUUGACGACCGCCCCGAUCCUAACCCUGCCGAUGGCUGGAGCAGGGUAUGUGGUUUAUAGUGAUGCUUCACUUAAUGGAUUGGGUUGUGUGUUGAUGCAGGAUGGCAAAGUGAUCGCGUAUGCUUCGCGCCAACUAAAGGAAUAUGAAAAGAACUACCCGACGCAUGAUUUGGAGUUGGCGGCCGUAGUCUUCGCAUUGAAGUUAUGGCGCCACUACUUAUAUGGCGAGCGGUGUGAAGUGUACACGGAUCACAAGAGUUUGAAGCACUUGCUCACUCAGAAGGAGUUGAACUUGAGACGGCGCAGAUGGUUGGAGCUGCUCAAGUAUUACGACCUGACGAUUCUUUACCACCCGGGCAAGGCUAACGUGGUAGCGGAUCCGCUAAGUAGGAAAUCGACGGAAAACUUAGCGAUACAUGUUGUGGCUCAACCGCAGUUGAUCGAGCAGAUGAAGCGGUUGGAGUUGGAGGUGGUGACCCCUGACACGCCCUUGAGGUUGAUGGCUUUGGUGGUGCAACCUACACUUUUGGAUCGAAUUAAAGAAAAGCAAGCUUCCGAUGUGGAGUUGCGAAGGAUUAAAGGUAAAAUAAUUGAUGAUUGCACCGGCGACUUCCUUGUGUAUGAUCAAGGAUUGAUGCAUUUUCGUGGAUGGAUUUGUGUACCGGCGGAUUUGGGAAUUAAAGAGGACAUUCUUCAAGAAGCGCACCGAACGCUCUAUGCUAUACAUACAGGAGGCAUCAAGAUGUACAAGGACUUAAAGUUGCUCUAUUGGUGGCCUGGGAUGAAAAAGGAUGUUGGCGAGUUCGUAGCUCGUUGUCUAACUUACAGAACACCGAUUACCUGCAAAAAAACUUCAGAGUUUGCCUAUUCUCGUGUGGAAAUGGGAGAAGAUCACCAUGGAUUUCGUGACUGGAUUGCCCCGCUCUCAGGCCGGGUAUGAUGCUAUAUGGGUGAUCGUGGAUAGGUUGACGAAGUUGGCGCACUUCAUACCUAUUCAUACUACUUGGACUGGGGAGAAGGCCGCACAAGUGUACCUUGAUGAGAUUGUACGACUUCAUGGAGUGCCUACAUCGAUCGUAUCGGAUCGAGACACUCGGUUUGUGUCCCAUUUUUUAAGGAGUCUACAGGACGCCCUAGGCACUCGACUGGACUUUAGCACUGCUUUCCACCCUUAGAGUAAUGGGCAGUCGGAGCGCACCAUUCAGACUUUAGAGGAUAUGCUCCGAGCAUGUGUGAUAGACUACCAGGGAGGAUGGUUGCAGCAUCUAGCUUGGCAGAGUUUGCUUAUAAUAACAGUUAUCAAGCAAGUAUCAAGACGGCGCCCUUCGAAGCACUUUAUGGACGAAAGUGUAGAUCGCCACUUCAUUAGAGCGAAGUUGGCGAGAGAUUGGCUUUAGGCCCAGAUGUGCUCCAGGAAGUAGAGGAUAAGGUUCGAAUUGCUCGGGAGUGACUUUUGACGGCACAGAGUAGACAGAGGAGCUACGCCGACCGACGGCGGCGAGACUUGGAGUUCCAAGUUGGAGACCAUGUUUUCUUAAAGGUCUCGGCAACUAGAGGGAUCAAGAGAUUCAGGAUUUGGGGUAAGUUGAGCCCCCGUUUCAUUGGACCGUAUGAGAUUUUGGAGCGUGUAGGUCCGCUAGCGUAUCGACUUGCUCUACCACCGAACCUAUCGGGCGUGCACAACAUCUUUCAUGUAUCGGUCCUUCGGAAGUAUGUCUUCGACCCGACUCAUGUGUUGGAUGCUACACCUUUGGAGUUGCGGGACGACUUGAGCUUCGAGGAGCAACUAGUGAGGAUUUUGGCUCGCGAGGUGCGAAAAUUGUGGAACCAGGACAUUCCGUAUGUAAAGCUCGUUUGGAGCAACCACGGGGAGCGGGAGGCCACGUGGGAGCUGGAGAGCGCGCUGCAGGAGCGCUAUCCCCAUCUCUUUCAGAUGGAGUCUUGAGGUAUGUAUUUGCUUUCAAGUUUAGCGGACGAAACUCCUUUUUAGGAGAGGUGAAUGUAGCACACUGAAACUGUGCAAAUUGCGAGGUUCGAGAGUUUAAUAUGGAUUCUGAACUUUUCCACACUUGGUGGAAGGUCGUAGAUGGUAUUCCGACCUAAAAGUUCAAUUCCUGGAGUUUUGACUUUGUCCUGAGAGUUUUCACUCUCGGGGACCGGUCCCUGAUAGGAGAGACCGGUCCCCUCAGAACAGUGUUGCGGCAGCCUGCGAGGCAACCGGUCCCUGGCGGCUGAGACCGGUCCCCAAGCGCGUCUAUGCGGGGAGAGACCGGUCCCAUGCGGGGAGAGAUCAAUUCCCGAACGUUGGAUUUUCGGGGCAGGCUGAGAGACCGGUCCCAGGUCGGGGAGACCGGUCCCUCAGUCCGAAAACUGCCCAGACCGGGCAGUGCACAAUGUUGAUUGUUGAGGGGCUUAUCAGGAUUUUGUUACAUUAGAAGGCUUUUAGAGCCUUUCUCUUCUCUCUUUUUUUUAUUUUCUCCCCUUUACACCCACUCUAGAGAGAGAAAGAGAAGAAGAAGAAGAGGAAGAAAAAGGAGAAGGAGAGGAGCUUCUUGGUGGCUUUGGAGCAUCAUUCCCUUCCUCUCAUUCCUCACCUUUGGUGGCUUAGAGUUUACGGUUGGAGCUUUGUGGAGGAUCAAACUUCAACCCUACUUGGUUUAGAGCUUGGUUUGGAGCUUCUCUUGAGGUUCGUAGCUUGUAUUUUCCAUUUAAUACAAGUUUUUCUAGAAUUUAUUAGAUUAAACCCUAGAUUGUGGAAUUAGGGUUUAUUUUGGGGAUUUUUUAUUUGAGAGUUUUGAAACCUAAUUGAUGGGUUUAGAACCUUUAUUUAUGUUGGAUUUGAAGAACUCUAACUCCCAUUUGGAGCUUGAGAGAGGAAUUCUUCACUUGAGGUGAGUUUCUCCACCUUAGCUUGAGAUGAUUAAUGAUCGAUCACUUGGGUGUUCGUAAGGUUCGUUUAACUCUCUUUUCUAUAUCUUUAGGGUACUAGGAGAGUGGUGGACACCUUUGUCGGGGCUUACGAAGGGUUUCGGUAACUUCGGUGGGUUUGACUUCAUGAAAUCGGGGCGAAAUGGCCCCUAAGUUUUCUAUACUUGUCGUAACGUCAAUUUGAUUGCAUAUUCAUGUUAAAUGGGAUUUAUGUGAAUUUUAUACCACUUAAAAUGAAUGCCUUAUGUAUCAUAAAAAUUUCACUCCAUAUAGUAGGGCAUUCUGGGCAUUUUGCAUGCAUAUGGGUAGUGUUCGUGCUAGCGACUAGGAAACAUGUCUCUUAUGUUAGAAUUUGCUCAAAUUAUGCAUUUGUAAACAAUAAACUCAUGUUUGGACUUAAUGGACAAAAAUGCCAUAAAGAGGCACUUGACAUAGUAAACUGUGAAACUGCAACGUAGAGACUUAGUGAUAGGCCAUUGAACAUCUGCUAUAUUCCAUUUUAGAGGCAUGAUGACAUAGAGAUAGGCCUUUGGGACAUUCGACGUAUAUUCCAUGUUUUUAUACAUGAGGACUUGGUACUUGAGACAGAUCUUUCGCUUGCUUGCCAUUGUGCUCAUUCGCAUAUACUUGUGAGGGUCGCUCCCUACAAGCCGGCACUCCGGAAAUAGCCAUCGCGACAUAUGCUCGCUCGUGCGGGAUUGGGCGCCGAAAUAGGAUGCCGUGGGGGAGGCUCAUUCCUAGAGUGAGGAUGUUGACUACCACGGGGCCAUUAGGCACGGUGCAGGCUGGACUACCCACGAGUAGGUCCUACAGGAUUGGGUCAUAGAUGACUUAGUAUACCGACUGGACAUAGACUAGAAUAGUAAACAAGACAUUUUACUAUUUAGCUUGUGGACAUCAUGCUAGUGAUACUUUGGUACAUUCAUGUUAAAAUAGUCUUUUAUUACUUAUGCAAAUUCAUGCUAAGUAGAGAUAUCAUGUUGUAGUAAGUUUACAUGUUUACUUACAUAUCGAUUCUAUUGCUUUUAUUGUUACUUACCUAUUUAGCUCUUUUGGGCCUAGUGGUGCUUUUACUUAAGUCAGUAAUUGCCCACUGGGAACUAUUAUUUAAUAGUUCUCACGCCCCUGUUUCUAUGUUUUCUUUUCAGAGCCCUCUGCACCGGCGGAGGCACGGGAUCGCGGCAAGGGGAUCGCUAGCUAGAUAGCGAGGAUUUACUGUUGCCUAGGUGGUUUCCUCUCUUUUUGUUGUUGUUGUUGAGAGAGAGAGACAUGUUUUGUAUCCAUGUAUAGAGACCACCUAUGUAUUUACUUAUAGCACUUGUUUCGGGAUUCUUCUUGUACUACUUCAUGCUUUCAUCUAGUAAAUUUUAGUUUAUGAUUCUUUUUCUCUAUGGUAGCAUCUAGAUAUACUUGCUCUGAUACUCCUAGAUGUUCUCUUUUUACUGCUUCAUUUAUCGUUUUGUUUUUAGACGCCUUAUAUGUUUUAGACAUAUGGCGGGUCUGGACACGCGCCGGGCGGUCUUCCGCUGGGUCCCGGGGCGUGACAGCCACUCGAUCUACUUGUCAUAGUGUCAUAUUGUUCUUUGCCUCAUCUAGGUUUUGUUGUCACCAAUCAUGCAUACAUAGGGUUCAUAGGUUCUCAACCAUCUCAUAAUGCAUUUGUACUCACAACAUGCAACAAUUCACAUGAAUAUCAUCUCAAUCACCCUACAAUGAAUGCAACAAUACUUGUACAUAUGCUCAAAAAGUGACACAUUAGAUAUAAGAGGAAUUUCAAAGAGUUUGGAAAGCACCACCCACCUCGUAGGCUUACUUAGGUGCACGGGAGGUGAGGAAACUACGGAACCGUGAAAUUCCGUUUGUUAAAAAAAAUUGGAGUAACCACGACGAUCGGGAAAAUACUUGGAAGCUUGAGAACGUGAUGAGAGAGCGUCAUCUCAUCUCUUCGAAGAGCUGGAAUGCGGUAUGAAUUUAGAUUGUCGUUAAGUUAGUUUCGCGGACGAAACUAAUCUUAAGGGGUGGAGAAUGUAACAUAUUGAAAUCCGGAAGAAAUUAUCGGAUUUUAGCCAAAUUGACUAAAGUAUGCGAAAAAGAUGGAUGACAAGUGCAUUUAGCAUUCCAACAAUGUUGGAAGGGUUAAAAAUGAGUUUAAGAGAGAUUAGAAAGGUUUUAGUAUCGAUCGGCGCGAAAUAGAAUCGAAAUCGGAGCUACAACAACAUUCUGGAGCAAGUGUACCGGUACAACCAGCAAGUUGUAACCGGUACAGCAUCACAGGCCGAGAGGGAGAAGCUCUCGGGUUUGAGUUUUUUCGCAGAAAUGUUCCGGUACACCCCUGUUGUGUACCGGUACACUUUGGUAAAAUCCGAGAACCUUGCUCUCAGGUUGCCGUAACACACUGGACCUUUGCAAAUUGCGAGGUUCGAGUGAUUGGAUGUGUUUCGAGCUUCUCCACACUUGGUGGAGGGUCGUAGAAUGUUUUCCGACCUAAGAAGUUCGAAAACCUGAGUUCUGGACGAGUCCUAAGAGUUUUCACUCUCGGGGACCGGUCCCUGAAAGGAGAGACCGGUCCCCCAGUGAGCAGUGUUGCGGCAGCCCUGAAGCAACCGGUCCCUGGCGGGCGAGACCGGUCCCCGAGCGCACCUACGCAGUGAGAGACCGGUCCCGUGCAGGGAGAGUCAGACGCACUCACGGAGGCCGCCAAGGCACCCCAGGAGCCGGAGCCAGUCGCGAGGACGUGGCUCGUCUACUCAGCGAGGAGGACCCGAUCGUCGCCAGGCUCCCCGCUGCGUGAUCUGUGGUGGUCCCUACUACCCGCGACAGUGUUCACGCAGCCGGGGCAGGUGUUUCUUGUGUGGCCAGGAGGGCCACUUCCAGUCGGACUGCCCGAGAGGU
rnacentral:lncRNA from 1 species